GGAUAAUGGUUCACCGCUUACAUUUUUCUUUGAAGAAUACUUCGAAGAAAAUUCGAUGUAGAAUUCUUCGAUACCUGGUAAUGCAUAAAAGUAAGCUAUACGGCUAAAUUCUACUGUGUUCAUAUUUACAAAUCAAGUAAGUACAUGAAAAACGACAAAUACAAAUUGAUGGAAUAAAA